rnacentral:rRNA from 1 species
CCUACGGGAGGCAGCAGUAGGGAAUCUUCCACAAUGGACGAAAGUCUGAUGGAGCAACGCCGCGUGAGUGAUGAAGGUUUUCGGAUCGUAAAACUCUGUUGUAAGGGAAGAACAAGUACGAGAGGGAAUGCUCGUACCUUGACGGUACCUUGCGAGAAAGCCACGGCUAACUACGUGCCAGCAGCCGCGGUAAUACGUAGGUGGCAAGCGUUGUCCGGAAUUAUUGGGCGUAAAGCGCGCGCAGGCGGCCUUUUAAGUCUGAUGUGAAAGCCCCCGGCUCAACCGGGGAGGGUCAUUGGAAACUGGAAGGCUUGAGUACAGAAGAGAAGAGUGGAAUUCCAUGUGUAGCGGUGAAAUGCGUAGAGAUGUGGAGGAACACCAGUGGCGAAGGCGACUCUUUGGUCUGUAACUGACGCUGAGGCGCGAAAGCGUGGGGAGCAAACAGGAUUAGAUACCCUGGUAGUCCACGCCGUAAACGAUGAGUGCUAGGUGUUGGGGGGUUUCCNCCCGUCAGUGCUGAAGCUAACGCAUUAAGCACUUCCGCCUGGGGNGACGCGCGAGNGNGANACANAGAGUAGAGNGNGAGAGNGACGACGACGACGACGAGGGAGGAGG